AGGAAACAGGGGUCUUAUUUCCAUCGGAAGCUGAAAAAGAGCAAAAAAACGAUUGCAAGAUGAAAGUAUUGCUUUUACUCUCACUUCUGUGUAUUGCUGCUCACAUCUGUAAUGGUCAGAAAAAAAUGUUACAAUGUCAAAAACGCAUUGGAAAGUAUUAUCUCAGUUGUAUGGAAGGAUGUUUUCCCGGUGCCAAAGGCUGGCAUGUCUUCAGCUACAACCCCAUCGACUUUUCUUGCAAGAAGCUUUGCCUCGUAGGAUAUAAAAGCCUUCUUAGUAAAUGUUUAAAAGCUAAAUAAAUGCAAAAA